CACGUGUUGUAUCAUUUCCCCUUUACAUUCUUGCUAUCUAUUGUUGCUUCGGCUAUUGCAUUUCAUUCUAGGGUUGCAUUCAAUUUAGAGAAUCUAGAAAGCCCUAGGAUUAAGUCUUUGUAUCUUUCAAAAAAAGAAAAAGAAAAGCUAAAAUUUGUUAGUCUCCUAUUCACAACCCCCCCCCCCCUCUAGUCGACCAUACCGAUCUUUUAAUUGGUAUCAGAGCCUCGUCUCUUAAGUAAUGCUUUACCGCUAUUAAGAGUAUGGCCGGCGAUGAUGGGGAACCCAUCGUGAAACCCCAAGAAACCGAGGUGAUAGAUGACAAUGCUUCACUAACUUUUAAAUCCAUCAAAUUGCUUUUGGAUAGCAUGCACAAAGUUAUUCUAGAUAGUGUGGACAAAAAGAUUAGUGAGCACCUACCUAACAAAGCCUCCUCUUCUUCUACCGAGCCUUUCUAUGCCAAGCCAC
rnacentral:lncRNA from 1 species